CCUACGGGUGGCAGCAGUGAGGAAUAUUGGUCAAUGGACGGGAGUCUGAACCAGCCAAGCCGCGUGAAGGAUGACUGCCCUAUGGGUUGUAAACUUCUUUUAUAUGGGAAUAAAGUGUUCCACGUGUGGCCUUUUGUAUGUACCCUAUGAAUAAGCAUCGGCUAACUCCGUGCCAGCAGCCGCGGUAAUACGGAGGAUCCGAGCGUUAUCCGGAUUUAUUGGGUUUAAAGGGUGCGUAGGUGGAUUGUUAAGUCAGGUGUGAAAGUUUGCGGCUCAACCGCAUAAUUGCAGUUGAAACUGGCAGGCUUGAGUAAGGGAGAGGUGGGCGGAAUGCGUGGUGUAGCGGUGAAAUGCUUAGAUAUCACGCAGAACUCCGAUUGCGAAGGCAGUUCACCGGACUGAAACUGACACUGAGGCUCGAAAGCGUGGGUAUCAAACAGGAUUAGAUACCCGGGUAGUC
rnacentral:rRNA from 1 species